AGGGGCCCCAGGGGGUGACCAGGAGCAGGCGGAGCCCCUCUGUGGGGACUGUUGCUAUGUUCUUUCCAAUCCCAGCCCACAAGCAUUCCUAGCAGGUGCAGCAGGAGUUUGGAGGAGGAAUAGGCCCUUUCCUGGUCUUUCUACACUUGCCAAGUCUCCAAAUUGGCCUUUCAGCCUUUGCUGGCCUCAAACUCACAGAGAUCCUCCUGCCUCAGCCUCCUGAGUCCUGCGAUGACAGACCUACACCACCACACCCAGCUCAACAUCACUCUCUCAAGGAGUUAAACAGAACAGCCUGGGAGGGUGUGGCAGGACCAGAAGAUAAGGAGCACGACUACAACACGACAUCUCCGGGCUCCCGCUGUGAAAUCUGUUUCGGGUCUGGACUAGGAUAUCGGGAAUUUCUAGAGAGCGGAGCAAAGGCCACAGUAGUUGCAGUAAUCUAUCACCGACCUCUGCUUGUCUACCUUCCCACACCCCGUGGACCACUGUUUCACAAAAUGUGAACUUGGGAAUCUCAGAGUACAAAACUUUUGCAACUUCCUGUGCGUCUAUGAGU
ensembl:lncRNA